rnacentral:sRNA from 12 species
CCCUGACAGUCGCAAUGGGCGACUGACACUAGCCCCGACAGGAGACACUCAUG